rnacentral:rRNA from 1 species
UAUCUGUCAUUCAGUUGAUGGGUUCGGGAUCCUCGUCAUUUACUUUGAGAAAAUUAGAGUGUUUAAGGCAGACAUUUGUCGUGAAUACAUUAGCAUGGAAUAAUAAGAUAGGACUUCGGCACUGCUGCUGUUGCCUUCGGGCGACGGGCGUUCUAUUUUGUUGGUUUCUAGAGCUGAAGUAAUGAUUGAUAGGGAUAGUUGGGGGCGCUCGUAUUGCUUGGCCAGAGGUGAAAUUCUCGGAUUCAAGUAAGACGAACUAAUGCGAAAGCAUCCGUCAAGGAUAUCCUCUUUAAUCAAGAACGAAAGUUGGGGGAUCGAAGACGAUCAGAUACCGUCGUAGUCUCAACCAUAAACGAUGCCGACUAGGGAUUGGACGAUGUCGCAUUUAAAGACUCGUUCAGCACCUUAUUCGAGAAAUCAUAAGUCUUCGGGUUCUGGGGGGAGUACGGUCGCAAGGCUGAAACUUAAAGGAAUUGACGGAAGGGCACCACCAGGCGUGGAGCCUGCAGCUUAAUUUGACUCAACAC